rnacentral:lncRNA from 1 species
AGUGAGCAAUGCAAUUCUGGGAAUGUUCAGGCUCUCUCUGUUCUUUCCUCUCUUGCAAACCAUGGGCACCCUUGGGUCCCUUGGGGUCACUAUGUUACACCUGCUUUUUAUCUGUCUGGGCAAGAGCUGCUCAAGCCACACCUUGUGACACUGAGAUCAGCUAUGAAAAUACCCAGCCGGCCUGCAGCCCUCCCGGCAGAUGCUGAAAAGGAAACCCGACUGGGAGAUGCCGCCCACCCUUAUCCCCAGAGAGCUGCGUUGUUUCCUCUUGCCUUGGCCUUUGGAUCCGGCCAUAGCAAGCAUCCCUGGGCACCUGGCUGAAGCUGGAAACUCGGGAUAAGAAUGGAAGCCCUGGAAGGGAAGAAGAACCGAGGAGAGGACAGCACAUUGCACUCUCACCUCCUUUGCAGUUAAGUGUGAAAUAGUGCCAAUAGAGUGUAAAAGAAAAGAAAGAAGAUGAUUCACCUCCCAAAGAUUCCCCACUGCUGUGUCCCUUCUAUCAACUUGAUACAAAAAAACACAAUGGCCCCGGGAACCACGUGUUGAAGAUGAGAGAGCUAAAAGAUGGAAAGAGACUGGAGCCCUGAGUCACCACCUGGAGGAAAACUACC